UUUGUGAAGACAAUUCCAAAUCCCAAAGGUGAGAAGAACAAAAAUUUCUCCCGGUUUCAAGAAGCAUGUCGGAAGGAUGUCGAACGAGCCUUUGGUGUUCUGCAAGCUCGUUUUGCUAUUGUACGUGGACCGGCAAGGUAUUGGGAUCUGGAGACACUCGGAGAAGUGAUGACAGCUUGUAUCAUCCUGCAUAACAUGAUAAUAGAAGAUGAGCGUGGAAGUCAUGUAGACUACCGCUACGAUAACAUGGGAGAACUAGUGACACCUUCUCACCGAGAGGCGGCUACAUUGACUCAGUUUCUUCAAGCUCAGAGUGAUAUUCGAGACAAA
rnacentral:rRNA from 1 species